rnacentral:lncRNA from 1 species
GAAGUAUCCUUUCUUUUCUGUAGCUAAGUAACUCUCUAUUUUAUCAAGACACAUUUGAACUUUCUCAAAAAGCUCAAUGAAGAUCAUGUAUAGAAGUUUGAUUUCAUCACUGCCACAAGGGAGGGUGGAGGUGGACUUACUUGGUAUUGGUAUGAUUCCCUCAAACUCUGUCUGAUCUUUGAUUGCAGCCUUGAGAGGACGCAAGAAUGAAGCGAACUCAAGGACAUCACUUGGUGAAGGACAGACAUCAUCUAUGGCUUCCACACUGGAAAUCAAACCCUCUGUUAGGUUGUUUGCAAGCUCAGCCACAUAUGGAAGAAUGUCCUGAACUGUAAUGAUUACAGGUUUAUUACUGCUGUUAUCAUAAUUCCGAGAGCUUCUUCCAAUUCUAAGAUACUCCACCAUUGAUCCUAGACUACUCCGGCAAUCUUCAUACAAAGGAUCUGAUCUUCCUGAAACUCUACAGAGCAAUUUACAGAACUCUAAUGCUAUAGGCGCACACUGUGAAUAUAUAGGUCUUGACAGUGUAUGUUUACUAGAAUUAAGGAGAUGUCGAAUUGAUUCUUGAGCACACUCUUUGUUACCUGCAUGAGGCGACAUGUAGAGCAUCAUCAGGGCUGCUGGAGCACAUAACGAUUGAAAUAUAUUCAGAUGAGGCGCCGGUUGAUCAUCCCCGAUAUCAUACUUGGCAGUCAUGUUCAAGAACUCUGUUAACCGCGAUUUCACAGACUUCAGACAAAGGCCCUUUUCUCCUUUGCACAACCUGUAAAUCGUCGAAACCAAAUCAUCAAUCAACUGCCACGCUUGCGGAUGCUCCGUACUCCGCAUUCGACCAACCAAAUGCAAGCCUGCGUCGUUAUUUAUCUUACACUCAGCCAAACUAUAAUCCCACUGAAGCUGCCGUCCUCGAUAAAUCAACCGCUGCUCGACCAUCGGAAUUCCGGUGGCGGCCUGGAUUUUCUCGUGGAUUAAUUUGACUUUGUCGUCUGGUUUUCCAUGGAGAACUAAGGUUUUGGCUUCGGAGAUCAUACGAACGAAGAAUUGGAUACGAUCAGGAUACCAUACGAAGGCGGAGUGUUGGGUGGAACUGGAACUGGAAGUAGAAGCCCUAGUUUGGAAGUGAGGGUGUUGACGAGUGAUUUGAUCAAGGAAAGGAUUACUGGAAGCGGUGGCGGGAGGAGAAUUAGGGUUAGGAUCAUCCUUUCUCAUCCUGAAGGCGGGUAAGUCGUAGGAGAGAUCGUCGUAUUCGUCGUCGUCGUAAUCUUCGAACUUGCGUUUGAUUCGCUGGUGAAGAAAUUCGACGGACGGAGAGUCUGGAGAAGACAUUGACGGUUGGCCGGCGGGAAGGGGUUUACCAUGAAACCAUCAAACAACAACUUAUGAGAAAGAGAUUUGUAUAUCGCUUCGCUGGGUUUUACAGAGAGAGAUGAUGAGAUCAACGCGACCCGUCUUUACUUGCUGAGAGUAAUCUUACAGUAAUUGCCUAAAAGGCAUUAAUAAUUAAACUAAAGGAAAUUUGACUGAUCUAACCAUUUUUUGGUCUAUCUUUCACAAAAAUAACUUAUUUAGAUUGAUUUUGCCAAAAUAACAUUUUUAUCUAGAAUGGAUUAUUUAGGAAAUAAUUUCGGACUCCAUGUUAUCUGAAUCGCCCCUCAAAUACCUUAUGAAAUAUAUUCAUUCCAGAGUAACACAGUACAUAUUCCAAACUUCGAAUUUCAAAUUCAUUUUCGGAUUAUAUUUCGAUAAAUUCCAGAUCUCGAAUUACAAGCGCAUUCCGAUCUCCAACACGCUCUCCAAUAUUCCAACCCACUCGAAGACACAUUUUGAACUCCGACCUAAGAUAUGGAAUAUGAUCACGAUGACCUAGUUGUUUUACGAGCAAGUCAUUUACUCUUAUAUUGUUAUGGUUUAAUUUUAACAUAUUUUGUUUUUAGAACUUCAUCUGGAAUGCAAAGAACAGCUCCGAAAUGAACCGGCAACGUUCCAGAGUAGCAAUACAUGUUGAUAGUACAUUAAGACCAACCCAACAAUAGUUUAGUUGUUUAUAUUAUGUUAUUAACUUAUUAUACAUAGAAAAUAAGUAUUUCAGAACAAAAAAAAUGCAUUCCUGAAUGCUCCAGAAUGCUCGGGAACGCGAGAAUAAUAAUAAUAAUAAUAAUAAUAAUAAUAAUAAUAAUAAUACAUUUUAUCGAACAAUUAAAAUCAUUGAAUAAGGUAAUUGUUCUUCGUACACGUUACAAACUAUAUAAAUAUUAUCGUAUACAAAUAUUAUAAGUAUAUAAUAUUUGUAGAAAAUUUUAAUAUAAAAUUUAUCGUUAAACGAUAAAAUAACAUUUUGAUAAAGCAUACUUAUGAUAAAUGAUAUAAACAAAAUUCAUAGUAAUCGUAAUUACUAAGCCUUGAGUAUAAAAAAACGUCAAAAUAUGACUUCGUAUGAAGAAGUUAAGAUUUUACAAAGUUUCGCAUUCGACACGAUAACACGUGUUAACACCACAUACUAACCUUAGUCCUUAUGUUGAAGACACAGCACACCCAUUUAUAGGCAUGGCGUGCCUUUCUUCUAGCCUCUAUAAAUGGUGCAGAUUUUGCUUCAUUUGGUGCUUAUUUACUCUCUUUUUUCUCUUAAUGCAACAUCCCGAUUUUUAACCCAAAAUUUUCAUUUUUAUUUAGUUAAAUAUAUCAUAGUAUAAUUACAUUAGGCGGAAACAUAUUACGAAUGAACGUGUGUACAAUCGAACCUUGCCCUAUCACGCAUCAAUGAGGUACCUGAAAAACAUUUAUAUGCAACUGGGCAAGCAUGAAGCUUAAUUAGUUCCUCCAAAAUACCACAUACCACAAUACAUAUACAAUGCAUACAUAUUAUGGCCUUCAGCAUAAACCUGGUCCGCCCUUGGCCUUCAGCACGAAGCCGAUCCACCCUUUUUCCUUCAACAUAAAGUUGGUCCGCUACUUGACCUUCAGCAUAAAGUUGGUCUGCCCGAGUCUAUUAGCCUUCACCUUGAGGUUGGGUCGCCUUAAACUCCCUACAUAAUAUUUUAACACAUAUAAACACUACAACAUGUAAUAAUCCAAUACUACAUGCAACUAACAGAACUAGCCUAAUGACAUACUAUAGGGAAAUUAUAUGCGAACAUACAGAGGAUAUAUCAUGGAGCACAUAAUAUAGUGAGAAAACUCACCUAGACAGUUAUCAUUCUCAGCCACACAUUUAUUUUGGUUUUUGGAUGGAUAGAAAGGUAAUACACAUGUGUAAAUCUAACUGGGGUUUCCCAUCUAGCUAGCUUAAGGAUGGGCUUUUUUGGAGAGCAUGUUAACACUCAGUAUCACUUACAUUUUGGUUUUUGGAUGGGAAAGGAGAGUAAUACACAUGUGUGAAUCUAACUGGGGUUUUCCCUCCAGCUAGCUUAAGGAUGGGCUCUUUUGGAGAGCAUGUUAACACUCAGACUUACUUAUAUUUUGGUUUUUCGAUGGAUAGGAGGGUAAUACACGUGUGAAUCUAACCGGGGUUUCACUCUAGCAAGCUCAAGGAUGGGCUUCUUUGGAGAGCAUGUUAACACUCAGUCUUACUUACAUUUUGGUUUUUGGAUGGAAAAGGAGAGUAAUACACAUGUAUGAAUCUAACUGGGGGUUCCCCUCCGGCUAGCUUAAGGAUGGGCUCCUUAAGAAUGCAUGUCUAACACUCGAUCUAACUUACAUUUUGGUUUUUGGAUGGAUAGGAGGGUAAUACACAUGUGUGAAUCUAACAUGGGUUUUCCCUCUAGCUAGCUUAAGGAUGGGCUCCUUUGGAGUGCGUGUCUAACACUAAGACUUAGUUGCAUUUGGUUUUGGAUGAAUAGGAGGGUAAUACACAUGUGUGAAUCUAACUUGGGAUUCCCCUCUAGCUAGCUUAAGGAUGGGCUCCUUUGGUGAGCAUGUCUAACAAUCAGACUUACUUACACUUUGGUUUUUGGAUGGAUAGGAGGGUAAUACACAUGUAUGAAUCUAACAGGGGUUUUCCCUCUAGCUAGCUUAAGGAUGGGCUCCUUUGGAGAGCAUGUCUAACACCCAGACUUACUUGCAUUUUGGUUUUUAGAUGAAUAGGAGGAUAAUACACAUGUGUGAAUCUAAUUGUGGUUUCCCUGUAGCUAGCUUAAGGAUGGGCUCCUUUAGAGAGCAUAUCUAACACUUAAACUUACUUACAUUUUGUUUUUGGAUGGAUAGGAGGGUAAUACACAUGUGUGAAUCUAAUUGGGGUUUCCCUUUAGCUAGCUAAAGGAUGGGCUCCUUUGGAGAGCAUGUCUAACACUCCGACUUACUUACAUUUUGGUUUGUGGAUGGAUAGGAGGGUAAUACACAUCUAUGAAUCUAACUGGGGUUUUUCCUCUUGCUGGCUUAAGGAUGGGCUCCUUUAGAGAGCAUGUCUAACAUUCAAACUUACUUACAUUUUGGUUUUUGGAUGGACAGGAGGGUAAUACACAUGUGGAUCUAACAUGGGUUUCCUCUUUAGCUGACUUAAGGAGUGAGAAUUUCACAUUGGGCUAGUCUGCUUUAAAUGCUGUCUCAUGCAGUCAUGCUACUUGAGAAAACACGAGAAAAUGUACUUGAAUAACUAACACAUGUUUAUUAUUCGCGUUUGAUACUUUAAGCUUCUUUGCAUCAUAAGUUGUGGAUCUCCUUAAUAGAGUCUAGUGACUCGUAAUAAUGUUAACGUCCUAAAGUAAAAUUUUAAUUUUUAAAAGAAUUGAUUUUGCUAUCCAAAGGAGGUUAACAAGAUAAUUUGUUGUCCGUUUGCAUUUCAUCUUAUUGAUGUAAACUAUUUUAUAUGAAUGAAAAGAUCUUUUUAUUCAUUAACACUUCUUACUCAUAAAUAUUUAACAUGAAGAAAUUAGUUUGUGAUUAUUAAUGAUAAUAAGUGAUUUAAUGUAUUUUAUAUAAGAAAAUUCAUCUGCUUAUUUCAAGUACACUUGCUUCCUAAAGUUAUGUUUAUUUACUACUAUUUCAACUUUACCAUAGUAAACCUAAAAUCAUAAAGAGAACUAACAAAAACUUGUUAGUAAUAAACUUUUUUGAAUGAAAUAGCAAAGCACUUAUACCCAUAAUAACAUUGUACUUGUACAACUUCAUCCACAAUAACAUACUUAUAUUCAUUUACCCAUAAUAACAACCAACUUACAUUUGUAAGCAAUUUACAUGUUCCUAUCAAUAAAAAAAAGUCCCCAACAAUAACCAAAGAUAAUGCAGUUAAAACAUAAAAAAAAAAACCCACCUAAUUCCAAUCUUUAUUCAUAAUAUAUAUAGUUAUAUUAUAUUAUAUACCUAGUUAUAGACAUGAUAUACCCCAAGACCUAAUGACAGUCGAGUCAACUCAGUCAAAACAGAAAACUUCAACAUAAACUUACUCUAUUAUUACCUUUACAAACAGAGAACAAACAAACUAGCUCAAAAUUUCACCUUUUUUUUUUUUUUUUUUAAUUUCACCAUGUUCCAAAGCUGCAUCCCACAUGAUCUUGAGUGAUGAUAUUUAGGCGUUCUCUCAUGAUAUCCAAUGAAGGGUAAGAUGGGAAACAAAUUCGAUAAAAACAUGUGUGAGAAGAUGGAAGAAGCUCUAUUGAAUCAUUGGUUUUGUAUAUGUAAAGCUUUGAAGCUAAUCCACCAAAACCUUCUAUUGGUAGAUGUUUUAAAGAUGUCCAAAAGAACAGAAGCACUUUUCUCUGAUUCCCUGUCAUUUCUUCAAUAAUCUGUGCAACAAAUAACUACUUUUAAUUAACAAGGUUAAAAAAGGAAAGAAAAAGAUGAGAAAUGACAGGUGGCAUACCUCCCAUAACCAUGAUAUUUGAGGAUCAGUUUCCUUAUACCCAUAAUACUCGGUAUGCUUCUUCCAAUCUUCCACUGAAAUAAUACUUUCACUUCCAUACAACAUUCCAUCAAGAUCCUCACAUUCUAAGCUUUUAAAAAACAAUUUCCUUAUUUUUUCUUCUCCAGCAAUAUCUGUAAACCCUUUAGCAAAAUAUGACACCUGUUCUGAAACAGAUGUCACAAACCUAUGCUCGAUAAGAAGAUCAACAUACUCCUUCCUGUUUCUACUAUUCACAACAAUGUUUUUUCCAUCUGCAAAAAGCUCCACAACUUUUCUUGAUCCUAGUUCUUCAAUUUCUCUAACGAAUGUUAACCCAAGGGCAUCUUCGUCAACUGUAGUGGGGUCCAUGUCUAAUAUCUGUUUGCAGCUGCUGUAUAAGUAUGGAUCUGCAUCUUUUAUGUCUUCUAGAGAGAUUGUGUUUCCUGAUAAUUGUGAGAAGAAUGAUCGAUCGAAUGCAAUUCCAACUUGGAUUUUGUGCAUUAAAGCUAAUGCGAUUAUUCUUCCUGCAAAGUUGAAGUAUUCAAGGUGCAAUGGGUCCACUUUAGAUGCUGCAAAUUCAACAACAAGUCAACAAGUCAAGAAGUCAAGAAGUAAUUCCGUGUCGAAAAAAAAUGGUUUUUUAUUGAAAGAUUGAUGAAAGAUUGUGAACUUACCUGGAUUGGGAAAGAAUCUUCUUCGGUCAUUCGGGCAAGCAACAAAAAGGGCAUUUUGGGGAUUAAAGAUUUCUUGACAAACUAAGAAGAACCAUUCACGUAAGACACCAGGACCUGUAGCUUCUUCAUUUUUGAACUCCAUGAAUAAUCCACCACGAAGAGUAUCAGGAUCUACACGUGCAAUGUACUCAAAAGAUUCAGCUAAUAACUGAGAUCUAUCAAUAAGCAUCUCAUGAAGCUCAUCAUAUUCAUCUUUCAUUUCUGGAAGCAACAUCAAUACCAAAUGCCUCCUGGAUUCGAAGUCAAUAACAUCUUUAUGUCCAAGAAUCCAUUUGUAAUCCUCACCUCUUUUAGCAUAUUUAACAAUCAGAUAGCAUAAUGAGACCUUGUUCCUUUUCAGAUUUUCCCAAAAGAAAUCUUCUGCACCUUGGUAUAGUUUGGAAAUGCUUCGCAGUUCCUUCAAGAUUGAAAGAUAAGAAUCCCAUCCGAAGUAUCCUUUCUUUUCUGUAGCUAAGUAACUCUCUAUUUUAUCAAGACACAUUUGAACUUUCUCAAAAAGCUCAAUGAAGAUCAUGUAAAGAAGUUUGAUUUCAUCACUGCCACAAGGGAGGGUGGAGGUGGACUUACUUGGUAUUGGUAUGAUUCCCUCAAACUCUGUCUGAUCUUUGAUUGCAGCCUUGAGAGGACGCAAGAACGAAGCAAACUCAAGGACAUCACUUGGUGAAGGACAGACAUCAUCUAUGGCUUCCACACUGGAAAUCAAACCCUCUGUUAGGUUGUUUGCAAGCUCAGCCACAUAUGGAAGAAUGUCCUGAACUGUAAUGAUUACAGGCUUAUUACUGCUGUUAUCAUAAUUCCGAGAGCUUCUUCCAAUUCUAAGAUACUCCACCAUUGAUCCUAGACUACUCCGGCAAUCUUCAUACAAAGGAUCUGAUCUUCCUGAAAUUCUACAGAGCAAUUUACAGAACUCUAAUGCUAUAGGCGCACACUGUGAAUAUAUAGGUCUUGACAGUGUAUCUUUACUAGAAUUAAGGAGAUGUCGAAUUGAUUCUUGAGCACACUCUUUGUUACCUGCAUGAGGCGACAUGUAGAGCAUCAUCAGGGCUGCUGGAGCACAUAACGAUUGAAAUAUAUUCAGAUGAGGCGCCGGUUGAUCAUCCCCGAUAUCAUACUUGGCAGUCAUGUUCAAGAACUCUGUUAACCGCGAUUUCACAGACUUCAGACAAAGGCCCUUUUCUCCUUUGCACAACCUGUAAAUCGUCGAAACCAAAUCAUCAAUCAACUGCCACGCUUGCGGAUGCUCCGUACUCCGCAUUCGACCAACCAAAUGCAAGCCUGCGUCGUUAUUUAUCUUACACUCAGCCAAACUAUAAUCCCACUGAAGCUGCCGGCCUCGAUAAAUCAACCGCUGCUCGACCAUCGGAAUUCCGGUGGCGGCCUGGAUUUUCUCGUGGAUUAAUUUGACUUUGUCGUCUGGUUUUCCAUGGAGAACUAAGGUUUUGGCUUCGGAGAUCAUACGAACGAAGAAUUGGAUACGAUCAGGAUACCAUACGAAGGCGGAGUCUUGGGUGGAACUGGAACUGGAAGUAGAAGCCCUAGUUUGGAAGUGAGAGUGUUGACGAGUGAUUUGAUCAAGGAAAGGAUUACUGGAAGCGGUGGCGGGAGGAGAAUUAGGGUUAGGAUCAUCCUUUCUCAUCCUGAAGGCGGGUAAGUCGUAGGAGAGAUCGUCGUAUUCGUCGUCGUCGUAAUCUUCGAACUUGCGUUUGAUUCGCUGGUGAAGAAAUUCGACGGACGGAGAGUCUGGAGAAGACAUUGACGGUUGGCCGGCGGGAAUGGGUUUAUCAUGAAACCAUCAAACAACACCUUAUGAGAAAGAGAUUUGUAUAUCGCUUCGCUGAAUCGCUGGGUUUUACACAGAGAUGAUGAGAUCAACGCAACCCGUGUUUACUUGCUGAGUAUACA